GACAGAGGCCUCAAGCGUUAGGCGGAAUCACUGGGCUUAAAGCGUGUGUAGGCGGCCCGUUAAGUGUCCCGUGAAAUCCCCCGGCUCAACCGGGGAACGGCGGGGCAUACUGGCGGGCUUGGGCCACUCAGGGGCAGACGGAACAGGCGGUGGAGCGGUGAAAUGCGUAGAUAUCGCCUGGAACGCCAAAGGUGAAAACAGCUCGCUGGGGUUGUGCUGACGCUGAGACACGAAAGCCAGGGGAGCGAACGGG
rnacentral:rRNA from 1 species